CGCCUCUUGAAUAAAAAUAAGAGGUCCCGCCUGCCCAGUGACUCAUGUUCAACGGCCGCGGUAUCCUAACCGUGCGAAGGUAGCGUAAUCACUUGUUCUUUAAAUGGGGACUAGUAUGAACGGCACCACGAGGGUUAUACUGUCUCCCUUUUCUAAUCAAUGAAACUAAUCUCCCCGUGAAGAAGCGGGAAUAAGAAUAUAAGACGAGAAGACCCUAUGGAGCUUUAAAUUUCAAUUCAAAUGCCCCCUACACAGAAGUUUUUAACUUUACCUCUACAAACCCGGCAUAAUGAAGUAGAAUUUUAGGUUGGGGUGACCGCGGAGUACAAAACAACCUCCACAUUGAACUAGGCCUAUUACCUUAAGCAAUGAAUUACAACUCCAUGCACAAAAAAAUUUACAUCCAUUGACCCAAUUUUUUGAUCAACGAACCAAGUUACCCUAGGGAUAACAGCGCAAUCCUCUUCAAGAGCCCCUAUCGCCAAGAGGGUUUACGACCUCGAUGUUGGAUCAGGGUAUCCCAGUGGCGCAGCCGCUACUAAU
rnacentral:rRNA from 1 species